rnacentral:rRNA from 1 species
UACGAAGGGGGCUAGCGUUGCUCGGAAUCACUGGGCGUAAAGCGCACGUAGGUGGAUCGCUAAGUCAGGGGUGAAAUCCUGGAGCUCAACUCCAGAACUGCCUUUGAUACUGGCAAUCUCGAGUCCGGGAGAGGUGAGUGGAACUGCGAGUGUAGAGGUGAAAUUCGUAGAUAUCAGGAGGAACACCCGUGGCGAAAGCGGCUCUCUGGGACGGUACUGACGGCUGAGACGGCGAAAAGCAGUGGGGGAGCAAACAGGAUUAAGAAA